UCAAUUUCAGCACCGUGUAUGGUAGAGUUGGAAAAACAUAGGGAAGAUUUGAAUAGCCCCAGGGUAAGAAUGGUGUGCAAACUCAUGAAGCGCUCCAUAUUUUA
ensembl:snRNA U6 U6 spliceosomal RNA